AUUGAACGCUGGCGGCAGGCCUAACACAUGCAAGUCGAACGGUAACAGGAAGCAGCUUGCUGCUUCGCUGACGAGUGGCGGACGGGUGAGUAAUGUCUGGGAAGCUGCCUGAUGGAGGGGGAUAACUACUGGAAACGGUAGCUAAUACCGCAUAAUGUCGCAAGACCAAAGAGGGGGACCUUCGGGCCUCUUGCCAUCGGAUGUGCCCAGAUGGGAUUAGCUUGUUGGUGGGGUAACGGCUCACCAAGGCGACGAUCCCUAGCUGGUCUGAGAGGAUGACCAGCCACACUGGAACUGAGACACGGUCCAGACUCCUACGGGAGGCAGCAGUGGGGAAUAUUGCACAAUGGGCGCAAGCCUGAUGCAGCCAUGCCGCGUGUAUGAAGAAGGCCUUCGGGUUGUAAAGUACUUUCAGCGGGGAGGAAGGGAGUAAAGUUAAUACCUUUGUUCAUUGACGUUACCCGCAGAAGAAGCACCGGCUAACUCCGUG
rnacentral:rRNA from 1 species